rnacentral:rRNA from 1 species
ACGGGGGGUGCAAGCGUUGUUCGGAAUUAUUGGGCGUAAAGCGCGUGUAGGCGGUUUGUUAAGUGUGAUGUGAAAGCCCUGGGCUCAACACAGGAAGUGCAUUGGAUACUGGCAGACUUGAAUACGGGUGAGGGUAGUGGAAUUCCUGGUGUAGGAGUGAAAUCCGUAGAUAUCACGAGGAACACCGAUGGCGAAGGCGGCUGCCUGGACCCAUAUUGACGCUGAGACGCGAAAGCCUGUAUAGCAAACAG